rnacentral:rRNA from 1 species
UAGGGAAUCUUCCACAAUGGACGCAAGUCUGAUGGAGCAACGCCGCGUGAGUGAAGAAGGUUUUCGGAUCGUAAAGCUCUGUUGUUGGUGAAGAAGGAUAGAGGCAGUAACUGGUCUUUAUUUGACGGUAAUCAACCAGAAAGUCACGGCUAACUACGUGCCAGCAGCCGCGGUAAUACGUAGGUGGCAAGCGUUGUCCGGAUUUAUUGGGCGUAAAGCGAGCGCAGGCGGAAUGAUAAGUCUGAUGUGAAAGCCCACGGCUCAACCGUGGAACUGCAUCGGAAACUGUCAUUCUUGAGUGCAGAAGAGGAGAGUGGAACUCCAUGUGUAGCGGUGGAAUGCGUAGAUAUAUGGAAGAACACCAGUGGCGAAGGCGGCUCUCUGGUCUGCAACUGACGCUGAGGCUCGAAAGCAUGGGUAGCGAACAGGAUUAGAUACCCUGGUAGUCCAUGCCGUAAAACGAUGAGCGCUAGGUGUUGGGGACUUUCCGGUCCUCAGUGCCGCAGUAAACACAUUAAGUACUCCG